AGCAGGAUCAUUCUUGGAUAAUUUUCUCCAAACUGUCAACCCAAAACACCGGGGGAAAGAAGGGUUAAAUCCUCCCCCUUUUUUUCUUCUCUGAUCACGCUCAGCGAUGGAUGUCUUGGCUCGGUGAUCGAUGAAGGACGCAGCAAAGUGCGACAAGUGUCACGACUUGCAGAUUCCCGGGAGCUGACAAAUUUCUGAAUGCAACUUGCGGACCGACUUUCUUCCCUGUCGGCCAUGUGCUGCAGAGUGUUUUUGCCUUGUGCACUACAUCUUUUUUGAGAUGAUUCGUGUCUCAAGAAAAAGGAUUCGGAGUUGACUCUCCAAAAACUUCUUUGGGUGUCAGCUCUAAGAAUGGCACAAGCGCUCGGCGCGGGCCUGCCUUGACAAAAAAUCUCGGCAGAAAGCUUUAAGCGCUCUUCUCGCGACUUGUGCACCCCACUCUUUCUUCUUGCUGACCUCUGCAGCAUAAGAAAACCCGCUGAACUUAAGCAUAUCAUUAAGCGGAGGAAAAGAAAACAACCGUGAUGCCCUCAGUAACGGCGAGUGAACAGGGCAAAGCCUAUGCUUGAAUCCGUGGUGGAUGGAAUCGGAAUCCACGGAAUUGUAGUGCAAAGAGCGAACUGGAAGGCUUUGGCAGCCGGAUAAAGCGAGUCUAGAAAGAUCCACCAAAGAAGGCGAUCGUCCUGUCUGUCCGGCGCGCCAGAGUCCGACACCCUUUUCGUUUCUCAGAGUCGUGCAGUUUGAGACUGCUGCACAAAACCGCAGGUGUACUCCUGCGAAGGCUAAAUAUUGCACCGAGACCGAUAGUGAACAAGUAGCGCAAGCGAAAGAUGAAAAGACCUUUGAAAAAAGAGUAAAAAGUCUCUGACAUCGCUGGGCGACAAGGAUAAGAGGGCUCAGGACAAUCCCUCGAGUUCGAGGUAGCCCGCGUGGUCUCGCUUUGCCAUCUGCAGAGGCUUAACAGUUCUUCUCAGGUUCGCCUGGUGGAAAGUUUGGUUCCUUGUGGCAGCGUGGUGCGGGACUAAGGAGAACCGGAUGCGCUUCUUAAGGUCCGGCAAGUCAGUAGGGCGCAAAGCAUUGGUUUCCACGUGAGGCCAGUCUUUGUCUCUUUUGGUUUGUUGUACUUUGGGAAAAGCACUGGCAAAACUGCGGGCGUUUACUGACCUCUUAUCACCCGUCUUGAAACACGGACCAAGGAGUCUACCGAAUGUGCGAGUGUUAUGGUGAUUGAAACCACGCAACGCGAAAUGAAAGUGAUGUCUCCACCAACCGGUCAACUGAGGUCGGUGCAGUGGAACUCGGUCCUGAUCGUACGUGAAAAGGAUCUGAAGUUGAGCACAUUCGCUGGGACCCGAAAGAUAGCGAACUUUUCCUGGGCCGGAGGAAGCCAGGGGAAACCUUGGUGGACGUCCGAAUCAAUGCUGACGUGCAAAUCGCUUGUCAGAUCUGGGUAAAGGGGCGAAAGACUAAUCGAGCUAUCUAGUAGCUGGUUCCCUC
rnacentral:misc_RNA from 1 species